rnacentral:rRNA from 1 species
GAUUGUAGGCUGAAACUCGCCUACAUGAAGCUGGAGUUACUAGUAAUCGCAGAUCAGAAUGCUGCGGUGAAUGCGUUCCCGGGUCUUGUACACACCGCCCGUCACACCACGGGAGUUGGAGACGCCCGAAGCCGAUUAUCUAACCUUUUGGAAGAAGUCGUCGAAGGUGGAAUCAAUAACUGGGGUGAAGUCGUAACAAGGUAGCCGUAUCGGAAGGUGCGGCUGGAUCACCUCCUUU